AUAAUGGGUCAGCGACUUAUAUUCUGUAGCAAGGUUAACCGAAUAGGGGAGCCGAAGGGAAACCGAGUCUUAACUGGGCGUUAAGUUGCAGGGUAUAGACCCGAAACCCGGUGAUCUAGCCAUGGGCAGGUUGAAGGUUGGGUAACACUAACUGGAGGACCGAACCGACUAAUGUUGAAAAAUUAGCGGAUGACUUGUGGCUGGGGGUGAAAGGCCAAUCAAACCGGGAGAUAGCUGGUUCUCCCCGAAAGCUAUUUAGGUAGCGCCUCGUGAAUUCAUCUCCGGGGGUAGAGCACUGUUUCGGCAAGGGGGUCAUCCCGACUUACCAACCCGAUGCAAACUGCGAAUACCGGAGAAUGUUAUCACGGGAGACACACGGCGGGUGCUAACGUCCGUCGUGAAGAGGGAAACAACCCAGACCGCCAGCUAAGGUCCCAAAGUCAUGGUUAAGUGGGAAACGAUGUGGGAAGGCCCAGACAGCCAGGAUGUUGGCUUAGAAGCAGCCAUCAUUUAAAGAAAGCGUAAUAGCUCACUGGUCGAGUCGGCCUGCGCGGAAGAUGUAACGGGGCUAAACCAUGCACCGAAGCUGCGGCAGCGACGCUGAUGCGUUGUUGGGUAGGGGAGCGUUCUGU
rnacentral:rRNA from 1 species